ACCCUCUUUACUUACCUAAACAGACAGAGAUAUCAAGGAUACGUAUCACCACGAUUUGGAACAUAGAUUGACAGAAUAAGGUAAAACAGAAAAAAAACUUUGAUGGGAAAGAACACAGAAGAAACAAACAGCAAAAAGAAAAAAUAAUAAAAAUUUGAAAAAAAAUAGAAAAACAAAAAAUAUGAUAACAUAUCCCUUAUUUUUCUCCCACUAACCCACUAACUCACAACUAUCUCAAAAUUUUAGCUCUACCAAAACUCUAUCAGACAAUUGAGCAAAAAUUAACACCCACG
rnacentral:lncRNA from 1 species